CGUAAAGAGCGUGUAGGCGGUUCGGUAAGUCUGCCGUGAAAACCUGGGGCUCAACCCCGGGCGUGCGGUGGAUACUGCCGGGCUAGAGGGUGGUAGAGGCGAGUGGAAUUCCCGGUGUAGCGGUGAAAUGCGCAGAUAUCGGGAGGAACACCAGUAGCGAAGGCGGCUCGCUGGGCCAUUCCUGACGCUGAGACGCGAAAGCGUGGGGAGCGAACAGGAUUAGAUACCCUGGUAGUCCACGCCGUAAACGAUGAACACUAGGUGUUGGGGGAGUCGAAUCCCCUCGGUGCCGCAGCCAACGCGUUAAGUGUUCCGCCUGGGGAGUACGGCCGCAAGGCUAAGACUUAAAAGAAUUGACGGGGGCCCGCACAAGCAGCGGAGCAUGUUCUUUAAUUCGAUGCAACGCGAAGAACCUUACCUGGGCUUGACAUGGUGCUGCAAGCGCACGGAAACGUGUGACCUUCGAGGGUGCACCACAGAUGCUGCAUGGCUGUCGUCAGCUCGUGUCGUGAGAUGUUGGGUUAAGUCCCGCAACGAGCGCAACCCCCGUGGUGUGUUGCCAGCAUUAAGUUGGGGACUCACACCAGACUGCCGGUGACAAACCGGAGGAAGGUGGGGAUGACGUCAAGUCAUCAUGGCUCUUACGCCCAGGGCUAGAAACGUGCUACAAUGGCGCAUACAAUGGGUUGCAAGACCGCGAGGUGGAGCGAAUCUCAUCAAAGUGCGUCUAAGUUCGGAUCGCAGUCUGCAACUCGACUGCGUGAAGGCGGAGUUGCUAGUAAUCGCGGAUCAGCAUGCCGCGGUGAAUACGUUC
rnacentral:rRNA from 1 species